rnacentral:rRNA from 1 species
UGGGGAAUAUUGGGCAAUGGGGGAAACCCUGACCCAGCAACGCCGCGUGAAGGAAGAAGGCCUUCGGGUUGUAAACUUUUGUCCUAUGGGACGAAAAAAAUGACGGUACCAUAGGAGGAAGCUCCGGCUAACUACGUGCCAGCAGCCGCGGUAAUACGUAGGGAGCAAGCGUUGUCCGGAAUUACUGGGCGUAAAGGGUGCGUAGGUGGCCAUGUAAGUCAGGUGUGAAAGACCGGGGCUCAACCCCGGGGUUGCACUUGAAACUGUGUGGCUUGAGUACAGGAGAGGGAAGUGGAAUUCCUAGUGUAGCGGUGAAAUGCGUAGAUAUUAGGAGGAACACCAGUGGCGAAGGCGACUUUCUGGACUGUAACUGACACUGAGGCACGAAAGCGUGGGGAGCAAACAGG